rnacentral:rRNA from 1 species
UCGACCUACGGGGGGCAGCAGUGGGGAAUAUUGCACAAUGGGGGGAACCCUGAUGCAGCGACGCCGCGUGGGUGAAGAAGUCAUUCGUGACGUAAAGCCCUAUCAGCAGGGAAGAAAAUGACGGUACCUGACUAAGAAGCCCCGGCUAACUACGUGCCAGCAGCCGCGGUAAUACGUAGGUGGCAAGCGUUGUCCGGAUUUACUGGGUGUAAAGGGCGUGUAGCCGGGCUGACAAGUCAGAUGUGAAAUCCGGGGGCUCAACCCCCGAACUGCAUUUGAAACUGUUGGUCUUGAGUAUCGGAGAG